UUAAUUAUUUUAUUUUAAAAUUAAAUAUCCCGAAAUUAGAAGAUCUAAGUUAAUUAUUUUAUAAGAAAAUAAAUAGUUAAUGUUUCAAAAUUAAUAUAAAAUAUAAACUUAGGGGUGAAAGGCCUAUCAAUUCUAAUGAUAUCUGGAUAAACUUUAAAUGUAUUAAGUACAGAAUAAAUUUGAAUUAAAAAAUGUUGAGAUUUUUUAAAUUUAUUGAAUUAAUAGAUUUUUAAAUAUAUUAAGGAUAAGUCCUAAAUAAAAUAAUAUAAUUAAAAUUAAUAAUAAUUUUAAUCUUUAUAGUAAGGUUUAAUUUUUGAAAAUUUGUAUUAAAAAUUAAUAAUGUUAAAAUUAGUAGUGUUAUCAUAUAAAAUUAAGGAACUCGGCAAAUAAAUUUACUCAACUGUUUAUCAAAAACAUAGCGUUAUGGAACAUAUAAGGUUAAACCUGCCCAAUGAUUAAUAUUUAAUGGCCGCAGUACUUUGACUGUGCUAAGGUAGCAUAAUAAAUUGACUUUUAAUUGGGGCCUUGAAUGAAAGGUAAUAUGGGUAAUUACUGUCUUAAUUUUAUUAAUAUAAAGUUUCUUAAAAGGUGAAAAUUCCUUUUAAAUAAUUUAAAAGACGAGAAGACCCUAGGAGUUUAUACCAAUUUUAAAUGUUUUGUUGGGGCGACACUACAACAUAAAAACUUGUAGAAAAUAUAUAAAUAAAUAAAACGAAAUUUUUUAAUUAUAAUUAAACUACCCUAGGGAUAACAGCAUAAUUUAAUUUUAAGUUUGUGACCUCGAUGUUGGACUAGGAACUUUUAAUAUUAACAAUAUUAAAAAUUUGUUCUGUUCGAACAUUUAUUUCCUACAUGAUCUGAGUUCAGACCGGCGUA
rnacentral:rRNA from 1 species